ACCAACGAUACGAUACCAGUUGUCAAAGUUCAAAUAGUCGUCAAAUAUUGCAUCAAAACAAUAUAAAAUAUCAAAGAAAUUACAAAAUUUCAUUGGUUGUUUAUCCGAAAGAAUUGUGAAGCUGUGUUAAAAUAUAAACGAGUAUACCAUUGUCUUACUCCUGAAAUUCUUUAUAAUAUUCUACCCUAUCGGUUUAUGUAACUAAACAUCUACAAUUUCAUCAAUUAUGACGCGCAAAUUCCUAUUUCUUAGAAACAAUCGAAAUUAUGUUAUGACGUUUAUAAGAAAUAAUUUAAAGACAAUAUUUUGAAUAACUUCUUGUUCAAGUAAAAUAUUUUGAACAAUUGAUUAUCAUAAAGUAAUUGAUAAUAGGUGUCACAGUUCGUUCACCAACAGCGUCUAAUUUCAGCUGUUCUUCCUUGAAAUCCAGCCACUUCUUGUUUUUCUCCAUAUUGAACUUGUCUCCGCAACGUUGCUUCGAUAAUCAUACGAGAAAAAUUCAAAUAAUAUUGCAGCCUGCUCCUUUGCACAUCGUUCAUGCAAGUGUACGAAGAAAAUAACGCAAAGGACAAAGUGACAAAGUUGAUACAUGUGCUCCGUUGGCUUUGAGGAAAGUUGCAAGAAAAAAUUUCGAAGAAAUGGAAAGGAAAGAGAGACUUAAGUACGAAACACAUUAAUUCAACAGAAAUAAGGAAAAUUAGAUAUGUUACAUUAUCUCGCUGUAAUACUUGCAAUAACGACUAUACCCAGAACUGGAGGUUGUUAAAAUAGCCUACACUAUCAGGCGCCACGGACGAGACUUGUUACACGAGCUUCCCGAUCUUUCCAAGCACCAUGAAGACCGAAACGCAUCAAGACAUUAUCAAGAAAUAACCUAACAUCCUUUAUC